GCUUCUGUCGUAAUUUCUGCUUCUUGCUAUGUUUUGAUAUAGUUAUAAAGCCAGCAAAUACGAAUAUCUCAUAAAACUAGUAAAUGCACGGGGUAAUAAAUAAAUACGGACGUCAAAUCUGUUGUCUGUUCUCUCUUGGUAGCGUGAAUAAAUAAUCAAUAGUAAAAAUGAUACGUUUAUUAAACAUCUAGAACUGCCGAUAUAUUUCCAUACAAGUACAAUAUUCCAACAAUAAUAUAUAAUAAAUAUAUACGGGGCGAAGAUACUUAAAUAAUAUUCUUACUUGUAUUUUCGUACGGGUCAAAC
rnacentral:lncRNA from 1 species